rnacentral:rRNA from 1 species
GACGAACGCUGGCGGCGUGCUUAACACAUGCGAGUCGAACGGAAAGGCCCUGCUUUUGUGGGGUGCUCGAGUGGCGAACGGGUGAGUAACACGUGAGUAACCUGCCCUUGACUUUGGGAUAACUUCAGGAAACUGGGGCUAAUACCGGAUAGGAGCUCCUGCUGCAUGGUGGGGGUUGGAAAGUUUCGGCGGUUGGGGAUGGACUCGCGGCUUAUCAGCUUGUUGGUUGGGUAGUGGCUUACCAAGGCUUUGACGGGUAGCCGGCCUGAGAGGGUGACCGGCCACAUUGGGACUGAGAUACGGCCCAGACUCCUACGGGAGGCAGCAGUGGGGAAUAUUGCACAAUGGGCGGAAGCCUGAUGCAGCAACGCCGCGUGCGGGAUGACGGCCUUCGGGUUGUAAACCGCUUUCGCCUGUGACGAAGCGUGAGUGACGGUAAUGGGUAAAGAAGCACCGGCUAACUACGUG